AAUUAGAAGAGUGUCUCGUAGCUCCUGCCUUGCACGCAGGAGGUCAACGGUUCGACUCCGUUAUUCUCCA
rnacentral:tRNA from 1 species